rnacentral:rRNA from 1 species
UGCAUGUCUAAGUAUAAGCAAUUAUACAGCGAAACUGCGAAUGGCUCAUUAUAUAAGUUAUCGUUUAUUUGAUAGUACCUUACUACUUGGAUAACCGUGGUAAUUCUAGAGCUAAUACAUGCUGAAAAUCCCGACUUCGGAAGGGAUGUAUUUAUUAGAUUCAAAACCAAUGCCCUCUGGGCUCACUGGUGAUUCAUGAUAACUCCUCGAAUCGCACGGCCUUGCGCCGGCGAUGGUUCAUUCAAAUUUCUUCCCUAUCAACUUUCGAUGUUUGGGUAGUGGCCAAACAUGGUUGCAACGGGUAACGGAGGGUUAGGGCUCGACCCCGGAGAAGGAGCCUGAGAAACGGCUACUACAUCCAAGGAAGGCAGCAGGCGCGCAAAUUACCCAAUCCCGACACGGGGAGGUAGUGACAAUAAAUACUGAUACAGGGCUCUUUUGGGUCUUGUAAUUGGAAUGAGUACAAUUUAAAUCCCUUAACGAGGAACAAUUGGAGGGCAAGUCUGGUGCCAGCAGCCGCGGUAAUUCCAGCUCCAAUAGCGUAUAUUAAAGUUGUUGUGGUUAAAAAGCUCGUAGUUGAACCCUUGGGCCUGGCUGGCCGGUCCGCCUCACCGCGUGUACUGGUCCGGCCGGGCCUUUCCCUCUGUGGAACCCCAUGCCCUUCACUGGGCGUGGCGGGGAAACAGGACUUUUACUUUGAAAAAAUUAGAGUGCUCCAGGCAGGCCUAUGCUCGAAUACAUUAGCAUGGAAUAAUGAAAUAGGACGUGCGGUUCUAUUUUGUUGGUUUCUAGGACCGCCGUAAUGAUUAAUAGGGACAGUCGGGGGCAUCAGUAUUCAAUAGUCAGAGGUGAAAUUCUUGGAUCUAUUGAAGACUAACUACUGCGAAAGCAUUUGUCAAGGAUGUUUUCAUUAAUCAGGAACGAAAGUUAGGGGAUCGAAGACGAUCAGAUACCGUCGUAGUCUUAACCAUAAACUAUGCCGACUAGGGAUCGGACGAUGUUAUUUUUGACUCGUUCGGCCCCUUACGAGAAAAUCAAGUGCUUGGGCUCCAGGGGGAGUAUGGU